UACAGAGGUCCCAAGCGUUGUUCGGAUUCAUUGGGCGUAAAGGGUGCGUAGGCGGCGCGGUAAGUCGGGUGUGAAAUCUCGGGGCUUAACUCCGAAACUGCAUUCGAUACUGCCGUGCUUGAGGACUGGAGAGGAGACUGGAAUUUACGGUGUGGCGGUGAAAUGCGUAGAGAUCGGAAAGAACACCAACGGCGAAAGCACUCUGCUGGGCCGACACUGACACUGAGAGACGAAAGCUAGGAGAGCGAAUGGG
rnacentral:rRNA from 1 species